CGUGUAGGCGGCCACACAGGUCAGCUGUGAAAACUCGAGGCUCAACCUCGAGACGUCGGUUGAAACCGUAUGGCUAGAGUCCGGAAGAGGAGAGUGGAAUUCCCGGUGUAGCGGUGAAAUGCGCAGAUAUCGGGAAGAACACCCAUGGCGAAGGCAGCUCUCUGGGACGGUACUGACGCUGAGACGCGAAAGCGUGGGGAGCGAACA
rnacentral:rRNA from 1 species